GCUAACGUAGCUUAACCAAAGCAUGACUCUGAAGAUGUCAAGAUGGCCCUUAAUCCGACCCGGAAGCA
rnacentral:tRNA from 1 species